UUAAAAACAAGUCAGAAAAUAAGAGAUGGCGUCGUCCAGCCGUCGACAAAGGCGUCAACUGCUCCAGGGAACUCAAAAACGCUCCGUAAGCGUGGCGGCUCUGCUAAAAACUUGAAAGCUUCGAACUCUUUUUCUCUCUCUCUCAAGCAACCGAUCCUAACCUUUCCUCUCUGUCUCGCUCGGCUCAGAUCCGGCUCAAUUCAGCUCCGAUCCGGCUUCGUCUUCCCAACUCUCUCCUUCCUGCAACUCUUCGUUCUCCCUCUGCAACGUUGCUCGUUCACUCCCUCUUCUCUCCUCCUCCAUCCCUCCACUUUCUCUCUCUCACUCUCUGUGUGUUCUUCCUCGUCUCCGUCUUCUCCGGUAUCAAAAUUCUCCUCUUUCUCGCAAUAAUACAGGUUUUGCUCACUCCCUCCCCACGUUCCUUCCAUCUUUCUCUUCCGUUUAGGGGUUUUCUUCGCUACAUUCGUGGCGUCGAAUUGGUAUUCGAUUGUAGUGCUUCUAUCAAGCUUCAGCGAUGCGGUCACGGGCCGGUUAGAUAGUCGAAGAAUCCCUCACGAACGUUUCGUUAUUGUAGUUCCAAAGACUGGUCUUGAAGGUGUCGUACUGGCUUUUUCUGUAAGUACUGCUGGCUAAAAUGAACUUUGAGACAGGAACAGUAGGCGGAAAAACUGGGAACCUGAUCGAAUGGAAUGUCAAUAAUACAUUCAAAACCUUGAAAGCCUCUAAGGGAGCAUAGCCGGAGAGGUGGGCUGCCUCUUGGAGGGCGCUGGCCUUGUAGAGGGCAUCAGUGGAGCGGUUGCCGGCCGAGCAAAGCUGGCAGCCAAAUGGCUGCUUACCUUGUAGGUGGGAGCAAAUUGGCAGAAGCCGAGCAAGCUAGGCAGAUCAGGAGGUUGGCCAAGCAGGGUUGGUGGCGAGCGGUUGCAGACCAUGCUAGCUGGCAGGAGACCAAGCGGCUGCGGGACAAGGUAGGCAGAGCAUGAUGGUGACUAGUGCGAGAGCAAGCAAAUGGGAUUGGAGGUGAUGAGGAUGCUGGCCGAGUGACAAUCCAAACGAGCUUUGAGAUCUAGCAGGAAUGGUGAACUACGAGGCUGGCGGGCAAGAGGAGGCUGCUGGCCAAGCGGGAAUCCAAAAGACCAUAAGAUCCAACAAAGAUGGUGACCAUAAUUGUCAAGGCGUCGCCUAGGUGACGACCAGGCGUCCAGGCAGUUUGCCUGGGGCCUAGGCGACAGCCGCCUUGUUGCACUGCAUGUCGCCUUGUAUUUCGGCACUUAUUUAUGCC